UGGGAGGCAGAUACCUGGUCAGUCCUGAGCUGUGCUCUGUCCGUCACAUACCUGCUCUCUGAUGACCAGGGCGAGUUGAAUGAAAUCGCAAUGGACAGAUACGGAGCAGACAACC